rnacentral:rRNA from 1 species
GAUGAACGCUGGCGGCGUGCCUAAUACAUGCAAGUCGAGCGGAAAGAUGCGGCGCUUGCUGCGCGCACGUUAGCGGAGGGGGGGUGAAUAACACGUGGAUAACCUCCCUAUAAGACGGGGAUAACUUCGAGAAACCGGAUCUAAUACCGUAGAAUAUCUUGAACCGCAGUGUUGAAUGGUAAGAGACGGUUUUUGUGUCACUUAUAGCUGGAUCCCGGCCGCAUGAGCUAGUAGGUAAGGUAAAGGCCUUCCAAGGCAACGAGGCGUAGCCGACCUGAGGGGGUGAUCGGCCACACUGGAACUGAGACACGGUCCAGACUCCUACGGGAGGCAGCAGUAGGGAAUCUUACGCAAUGGGCGAGAGCCUGACGGAGUAACGCCGCGUGAGUGAUGAAGGUCUUCGGAUCGUAAAACUCUGUUAUUAGGGAAGAACAACUGUGGAAGUAACUAUGCACGUCUUGACGGUACCUAAUCAGAAAGCAACGGCUAACUACGUG